UACGUAGGGGGCAAGCGUUGUCCGGAUUUAUUGGGCGUAAAGAGCGUGUAGGCGGCCAAAAAGGUCGGUUGUGAAAACUGGAGGCUUAACCUCCAGACGUCGACCGAAACCAUCUGGCUAGAGUCCGGAAGAGGAGAAUGGAAUUCCUGGUGUAGCGGUGAAAUGCGCAGAUAUCAGGAAGAACACCCGUGGCUAAGGCGGUUCUCUAGUACGGUACUGACGCUGAGACGCGAAAGCGUGGGGAGCGAACAGG
rnacentral:rRNA from 1 species